rnacentral:rRNA from 1 species
UACGGGGGGGGCAAGCGUUGUUCGGAAUUACUGGGCGUAAAGGGCUUGUAGGUGGCCAACUAAGUCAGACGUGAAAUCCCUCAGCUUAACUGGGGAACUGCGUCUGAUACUGGAUGGCUUGAGAUUGGGAGAGGGACGCGGAAUUCCAGGUGUAGCGGUGAAAUGCGUAGAUAUCUGGAGGAAUACCGGUGGCGAAGGCGGCAUCCUGGACCGACAUUGACGCUGAGGAGCGAAAGCUAGGGGAGCAAACGGG